rnacentral:misc_RNA from 1 species
CAAAAUCUCGCGCAUCAUUCUCGGCCCCUACGUCUUCAUCUCCCCCCAACAACAACAACAACGGCAACCGCCGCCGCAGAGAGAGAGACUCCCGCUCAAGAACUCCUCCUGUCUCUCUCCCUCCCCCCGCGCCAUCCCAUCAUCCACGUAUUUUCCCAGAAGCCCUUGGUCGUGUGCUCUACCUUGUGUCUGCUGAGUGUGCUCCGCUGUCUUGUGAUUGAGUACGGCCGUUGGUCGUCCUUUGUGUUCUGCAGCUCUUUUUUGCCUUCUCUAACCCGAAGCCCGUCCCCCUGCUCGAGGGUGUGAGUGUCGUGUGCUCCCUGGAUUUGGUUGGUGUUGGACCUGCCAGCGUGUGUGUGUGUGUGUGUGUGUGCGUGGUGGAGGGCGCGGGGCGGGGCCUCUUUCCGCUUGUAGUCUGGCGGGUCGUGGAGGUGGUUCCUCGACGUCAGUCUCAUCGCUACUGCGGUCGUGCUGCCAUCUCACGGCACACAGACAGACCCGCGCCUCGUGUUCUUCUCUUUGGCCACGCGUGCAACGCGUACAUUGGGGGGCCCACGCCCACGUGUCACGCGUCUGCACGCCAGCCAGCGAAGAGGGAGGAGCGCUACACGCACCGCAUACACGCAUCCGCAGAAGCCCAACACGAAAAAAAAAACGCCAAGCCACCACCAGCCACCACCCACCGCCCGCGCUCCCCCCUCCUCUCCUCUCCGCCCUGCACCUUCAUCGUUCUCUGUCAGCUUCGCCUUUUCUCUUGCGCAGUUGCCGCCAGGACACACACGCACGCAGCCGCUGCCGCCGUCACUCCAUCUCCUCCUCCAACCUCCCGCUCUCUCCUUGUGUGUGUGUGAUUGUCUCGCGUCUGUGUUUGUCAG